rnacentral:rRNA from 1 species
UGGGGAAUUUUGGACAAUGGGGGAAACCCUGAUCCAGCCAUCCCGCGUGUGCGAUGAAGGCCUUCGGGUUGUAAAGCACUUUUGGCAGGAAAGAAACGUCAUGGGUUAAUACCCCGUGAAACUGACGGUACCUGCAGAAUAAGCACCGGCUAACUACGUGCCAGCAGCCGCGGUAAUACGUAGGGUGCAAGCGUUAAUCGGAAUUACUGGGCGUAAAGCGUGCGCAGGCGGUUCGGAAAGAAAGAUGUGAAAUCCCAGAGCUCAACGUUGGAACUGCAUUUUUAACUACCGGGCUAGAGUGUGUCAGAGGGAGGUGGAAUUCCGCGUGGAGCAGUGAAAUGCGUAGAUAUGCGGAGGAACACCGAUGGCGAAGACAGCCUCCUGGGGUAACACUGACACUAAUGCACGAAAGCGUGGGGAGCAAACAGG